GGGCCGUAGCCUGUCUGUCUGGGAUACAUGGAUUGACAGAGCAACAGACAUAACCCCAACACUGUCCUCACGUCGUUUACUUGCGAUUCGUAACGUGGAUAAGCAAACAUUAGUCAGGACGUCGGUGUGUUCAGUGAUCACUAAUCUACAAAGUUGACAAACCUCAAGACCGCGUUACCCAAGAGCUAAUUUAACCACUGUACAAUGUUGAAUGACUAAGGUGAACACCUACCCGCUCCGGACUGAAGACAAGAAUUUCAGGAACUUACAUGCUGUUACAAGACUACUUGGCGCGUACUGAGUGAAAACUGUGACGGAAAAUAUUGCGCAAGCGUAUAACAUGAAGGGGCGGGAUAGGAUAGGUUAACCUUCGAGGCAAAAUUUGAAGAGGUCCACGGCAGAAGUUUGCCAUCUGAAGGUCUUGCACAUUAGGCUCAACAUGUUGAAACACUUUGUGGUCCUUCUGGCACUCCUCCACUUUUCAAAAGCUGACGACACAAUUAAAGAAAUAAUUAUCCAUCUAAGAAACCUUCGAGAUCAGCAGCAUCUCCUCACCUUUGUUUUAGAGAGCCCCUACUACCCUGGCAUAAGAAUCCACUGGAAUGUGUUCCAGUGCAAAAAGGUCAUUGCUCACGAACUUUUGCGAGCAUUGGACCAUGUUAAAAUAACAUCUUCUCAUAACACUCAAAGACUUCAGGAAACUGUGAAUAAACUGCAAAUCAAUAUUGAAGGAUUGAUUUCAGGAGACCAAUUUAAAAGCACUUUUACAGCAGAGGAGGACUGUGCCAAAGAGAAAAUCAUGAUUGUAAAGAUCAACAGCAUGACAAACUCAGCAUUUAUAGAUCGGUAUAUAAGGUUCUUCCAAGACUGGCUUUCAAAUCUAUCAUGAGCUUCCAUUAUCCUCACCCACGCAGCCUAAAAAAAACAUAAUGUAUUGAUCAUUGGAGGUAUUUCAGUGGCAAAUCAGGGAUCAAUGUAUUGCCAACAGAUGAAUUUUCCCAAUUUCUUGAAUUAUUUCUCAAGUAAGAUCAUGUAAGGUUGAUGUAUAGUGUAUAACAUUUACACAUGUAUAUUCAUUAAGCUGGCACUUUUAUCUAAAGCGACUUACCACAAGAGAAUGAAUGUAACUCAUGAAAGAGUGUGUGAUUAAGUCUGAUGCAAGUUUUUAUUAUGUUUUAGAAUUUUUUUCAGCUUUG